AAGGUUUGCAGAGCAGUCAAAUCAAAUAAACGGUCCCCUUGCAGAUUCUUUUAUAGGAGGUUUCUUAUUUAUUUUAAAGGGUUUCUGUUUUGUUUUUGAAGAGGGCAGAUCUGGGUAUGCCCCUAGCCAUCUACAUCACACCAAAAUAACUUGCAGACAAGAUGAUCCCUUGGUUCCUUUGACUGCGAGAUUACAAAUGAACAGUCCUGCUUUUAGGUGGACAUACUCCCGAGGAAGGAAAGCCACUGAGGACCAGGGUGAAGGUAACUCAAUGGACACAUCAACGUCUCACUGAAGAAAAGAGAAGCAGGAAAAGAAAAUUCUCUGCGACGUCACCACGAGGAUGAGGUACAGCGGUUCUGAGAGAUGGGGUUUGUAGGAGCAGAGGUAAGUCCAUUCAAAUACCUCAUCUCCCUCUGGAACCAGAUCAGCGAUUGCAGAGAAGGCUUGCCUGCGUGCUGCCCAAGUCACUCUUCCAAGUGCCCAUCUUGGCCUUCCUGUGUGCCAUCCCUCGCCUACCAAGGAGAGGGGUCUUAAACGAGAGGGAGGCGGCUUCCUUCUGGCAAGUCCCUGGGAGGACUCAGUUAGUUGUAAGCUAUCAGCAGCCAACACUUCAGGCACCUGGAGGUACCAAGGAAGGACCAUGUGAAGACAGAGCCACGAAGAGAGUUCUUACCAGAACCUGACCUUGCUGACACCCUGAGCUGAGACUUUUAACCUCCAGAACCGUGAGAACUAAAUGUUUGUUGUUUAAGCCACGUGGUAAUUUAUUUUGGCAUCCUGAACUUUCUGAGACACUGGGCAUUGCAGCAAGCACAGCUCGUAACACCCUGACUUACAUUAACGUUGGAGCAUUUCCCAAAGUCUGUCCUACUCAGGGCUAACACACAAAAGACAAAUUAAUAGUUGAAGGUAGAAUUCUUCAGAAAGCAGUUCUUUUUCUUACCCAAAAAUAUUUACUACCUCCUCAAGAGGUAAAGUAGGAAAAAUUGUUACUCUCUACCUCCUGCCCCAUUAUCAGUCCAGGUUAUGUAGUAAGUCAUUCUGUUAACAAAGAUGUGAACUUAGUGUCUAAGAGAAAAAGUUUGUAUUUGUUUCCCAAAUUACAUUUGUUUGCACUUUGUUCAGGACACUGGGAAAGGCCACUUCGAGAAGGCCGCUUACAUUUCAUAUGGAAUAGUGAAAAAUCUUUGAUUUGAACUUUAUCUUGAAUAAAGAAGUAA